rnacentral:rRNA from 1 species
GACGAACGCUGGCGGCGUGCUUAACACAUGCAAGUCGAACGGAAAGGCCCUGCUUUUGUGGGGUGCUCGAGUGGCGAACGGGUGAGUAACACGUGAGUAUCCUGCCCUUGACUUUGGGAUAACUUCAGGAAACUGGGGCUAAUACCGGAUAGGAGCUCCUGCUGCAUGGUGGGGGUUGGAAAGUUUCGGCGGUUGGGGAUGGACUCGCGGCUUAUCAGCUUGUUGGUGGGGUAGUGGCUUACCAAGGCUUUGACGGGUAGCCGGCCUGAGAGGGUGACCGGCCACAUUGGGACUGAGAUACGGCCCAGACUCCUACGGGAGGCAGCAGUGGGGAAUAGUGCACAAUGGGCGGAAGCCUGAUGCAGCAACGCCGCGUGCGGGAUGACGGCCUUCGGGUUGUAAACCGCUUUCGCCUGUGACGAAGCGUGAGUGACGGUAAUGGGUAAAGAAGCACCGGCUAACUACGUG